rnacentral:lncRNA from 1 species
CCAAAUCUAUGGAGACAAGGUACGUACAUCUCUGUCUUGUUCAUUAUUUGAUGUUGUUUCCUGUUGUAUCUUGAUCUGUGGGGCUAUUAGAUUCCAGAAAUCAGACUGUCCGUCUUACUAUUCCAUGUAUGUUUUCGUUGUAACUAGUUAAGCUAUUCUGCUAAUCAUGAUGCAUGCGUUUGUUUCAUUAUUGUUAACGUGGGCGAAAAAAUAUUAGAUGUCAUACUUGCUGCAUAGACCGGUAGUCCAUCAAUGGUAGAAGUGAAGUGAGGAAAGAAUUAGGAUGCCAUAUAUAUUUGCCGGACAGGUCUAUGGUCAUUAUGAUUUUGCAACCUCUAGAUAGGGUUUAUAGAUUAUUUAACUCCAGUAUGUCAUGUACUCACGUUCAUUAUGACGGGUAUUGAAAAAAAGGUAGAUAUAUCAUACUCAGUGCAUAUGAUAUAUCGGUAUGCGAUUUUCAAUGGUACUUGAAAUUGGUCCACUGGAUUUGUGAACUAAUUGUAUUUUUCUACUCACAAAGUCGAUGUUGUUCCUAGGUCUAGCUAGCGUUUGUUGACAUACUUAUAUAUUCAACUGGCUGAUUUAUGAAACGAUGAAAAGUUCACAUGAACACUACCUCAUGUGUGAUAUAACAACGGUCAUCAACAAGAUUGUAGUUGCUUAGAUUUUGCAAAUUAAGAUUCAGUUCUAACUAUUUAUCUUUUUCAAAUAGACAUUAUUGUCAAUAUCUCGACCUCUUACAACUGUCCUCAUGGUCCAAAUUUCCAGCAAUUUUUGUCGUCUAAAAUUAGUUGUAUAUUUUGUUGUAACCACAUUAUUUGGCAUGUUACAGUAAUUGUUCGAAUCACUUUUGACUAUAAAUCUUGAUGAUUAUUUUCAGGAGGACAUGCUAAUGAAUGAAAGGUUCAAGAUCGAACAAUGGAAAUCAAGCACUUUCUGAGCCUUGUGUGCAAUGCAUCAAGAAGGGUCGAGUACCAACUUCGUAGUUCCUUUGUUCAUGAACUUUAAGAUUCAGUUUGGACUCAGUUAUGCUACCUAUAUCUUACGUUUUCUGAACCAACCUCCAUUUCCUUUCCGAUUUUUUCCUAAGAGAACACAUUUUUUUU